CACUCUUGAUCGGGAGAGGGUAGCCAUGCGCUGCCGCCGAAGGGGCACCACCCAAAAACUCUCAGGCAAAAGGACCGAUCAAGGGGA
rnacentral:ncRNA from 2 species